UUACGCCAACCUCUUCGGCUAAUGCUAGGAGACAUAAUUCAACUCAACUUUCUCAACUUAUUUUCCCUGGCAUUAUUCGCCAUAAAAAUGAUAACAUAGCCUGCAAUUUAUACAUGGCAAUUUCCCGGCAAUUUCAUCUUAUCAUGUGGCCUGAAACUGCCGUUUCCCAAAAUGUUGUCUCUAUCUGCACGUACCGGAUGUACGCUUCAGAACAGUAAAUUUGAUCAUGUUGCAUGGUGAAGUUUGAGAUUCUUCAUUGCAGUCUAAAGUGCUCAUUGAUUUGUUGAAGCCAGCUGGCAAAAGGUGUUUUGCAGUGUCUUUCAGUCUUGCUAGCUACCUGUACCAGUUGUAGCUUUUGUCACACACUGAAACACUUCCAAACAAUUUAAAGAUUAACAGCCGCUUGAAGUCUGAGCCUCUUUGUUGCAGUCCAAUAUGUACAUGAAUUUUGUGCAGCCAGUUGGAGAAUGGUGUGGUGAGCUGUUGCAUGCAGACUGGGGUGCUGGUGUCGUUCGUUCAUUUAACUAUGGACCAUUCAGUCGUUCGUUUAUCGUUUCCAUGGUCAGUUUUAUGUUUGAGCUGUUUGAGGCGUUGCUAUUUAGGGUACAGUGGUUUUGCAGUCAUUUUCCAGUUGAGACAUGCGCUGAAAUGGAGCUUGUGCGGACUUGCAGUUGAACAUCAUACUUUAAUGUGUCAUUUGCCUAUGUCGGUGUCUAUGCAGUGUUGAACUGCUGUGCAAAAUAAUCGAUGUCGCCUGAUGGCUGCCGGGCUCAUUUUAUCGGCAGCAUUUUGUCGAUAUGUCGUCUCUUGCUACCUGUACCGCCGUUGAGUUGAUUCGUUUGCCGCCGUUCCUUAGACUUGAAACACCGGUGAAACUAAGAAGACGUUGCAGAAAUUCAAGAUUGAUCAAUGAAUUAUGUAGAUAAAUUACAAGUGCAUAUCUGGGCUCCCUUCUUCAGUGGCCCCGUUUCCCUAAAUAACCACUAACCAACGCCCGCCGGUGGUCACUCACUCGCUGCGACAACCAGGAGGAAGGGAGAUGUUUGGUCGAACGGGGACUUGCAAGGCGCAUGAUUCGAUGAAAUCUGUUGGAGGGUCAUGAGUCUAAGCCGGAAGCCUACUAUGACACACUGCUCUCAUAAUAACUGCUCCUCAGCUCUCUUCGCUCUUUUUCCGGUUUCUCUUAACCAUGGCCGGGUAAUCUCCCUGGUCGAGUCAGUCGGGCAGUGUCUCCUCCUGCUUGACUGACAGCAGUUUGUACCGGACGGUUUGUUUAAUA